rnacentral:rRNA from 1 species
UGGCUCAGGACGAACGCUGGCGGCGUGCCUAAUACAUGCAAGUCGAACGGUCUUUCUAUGGAAGCUUGCUUCCACUGAGAAGAUAGUGGCGAACGGGUGAGUAACACGUGGGUAACCUGCCCAUAAGAGGGGGGAUAACAUCCGGAAACGGGUGCUAAUACCGCAUAGUUUUCUUGAUCGCAUGAUUGAGAAAGGAAAGACGGCCUUUGUGCUGUCGCUUAUGGAUGGACCCGCGGCGUAUUAGUUAGUUGGUGAGGUAACGGCUCACCAAGACGAUGAUACGUAGCCGACCUGAGAGGGUGAUCGGCCACAUUGGGACUGAGACACGGCCCAAACUCCUACGGGAGGCAGCAGUAGGGAAUCUUCCGCAAUGGACGAAAGUCUGACGGAGCAACGCCGCGUGAGUGAAGAAAAGGUUUUCGGAUCGUAAAACUCUGUUGUCAGAGAAGAACAAGUUGGAGAGUAACUGCUCCAGCCUUGACGGUAUCUGACCAGAAAGCCACGGCUAACUACGUGCCAGCCGCCGC